UAAUACGGAGGACCCGAGCGUUAUCCGGAUUCAUUGGGUUUAAAGGGUGCGUAGGCGGCCCGGUAAGUCAGCGGUGAAAGGCUCCUGCUCCACAGGAGAGCUGCCGUUGAUACUGCUGGGCUAGAAUCUUAGCGAGGCGGGCGGAAUGCGCGGUGUAGCGGUGAAAUGCAUAGAUAUCGCGCAGAACGCCGAUUGGGGAGCCAGCUCGCCAGCUGAGUAUUGACGCUGAGGCACGAAAGCGUGGGGAUCGAACAGGAUUAGAUACCCUGGUAGUCCACGCCGUAAACGAUGAUAGCUCGCUCUUGGCCCGCAAGGGUCAGGGGCUUAGCGAAAGCGUUAAGCUAUCCACCUGGGGAGUACGCCGGCAACGGUGAAACUCAAAGGAAUUGACGG
rnacentral:rRNA from 1 species